UAAAAAUAAGCCAAAACCAAUAACUACAGGGAAAUACAUGUGCUUUCGUCUGUGCAAUUAAAAGAAAAGAGGUUAUUCUAGGUCAAAAGAGAGGUGAAAAAAUAUUGAAAAACAAAUCAAGAUAUAAGAUGAUUACUGGUCUUAUUUAAUUUAUAACCAAACAAAAAAGUAACAAUUUUGGAGGCUAAGCUUAAUCAUUAGAACGAACCUCACUUAUUUAUCAUAACAUACACUGUAUGCACAGAUCUUAUACUACAAAAUCUGUGCACU
rnacentral:lncRNA from 1 species